rnacentral:rRNA from 6 species
CAGGGAUUGCCCUAGUAACGGCGAGUGAAGCGGCAACAGCUCAAAUUUGAAAUCUGGCCCUUGGGUCCGAAUUGUAAUUUGUAGAGGAUGAUUUUGGUGCGGUAUCUUCCGAGUUCCUUGGAACAGGACGCCUUAGAGGGUGAGAGCCCCGUACGGUUGAAUGCCUAGCCUCUGUAAAUCUCCUUCGACGAGUCGAGUAGUUUGGGAAUGCUGCUCUAAAUGGGAGGUAAAUUUCUUCUAAAGCUAAAUACUGGCCAGAGACCGAUAGCGCACAAGUAGAGUGAUCGAAAGAUGAAAAGCACUUUGAAAAGAGGGUUAAAUAGCACGUGAAAUUGUUGAAAGGGAAGGAUUUAUGACCAGACUUUUUCUGGGCGGAUCAUCCGGUGUUCUCACCGGUGCACUUUGCCCAGUUUAGGCCAGCAUCGAUUUUCGGAGAGGGAUAAAAGCUUUGGGAAUGUGGCUCCUCCGGGAGUGUUAUAGCCCAUUGUAUAAUACCUUUCUGGGGAUCGAGGUACGCGCUUCUGCAAGGAUGCUGGCGUAAUGGUUAUCAAUCACCCGUCUUGAAACACGGACCAAGGAGUCGAACAUUUGUGCAAGUGUUUGGGUGUUAAACCCUCACGCGUAAUGAAAGUGAACGGAGGUGAGAGCCCUUACGGGUGCAUCAUCGACCGAUCCUGAAGUUUUCGGAUGGAUUUGAGUAAGAGCAUAACUGUUCGGACCCGAAAGAUGGUGAACUAUGCGUGGAUAGGGUGAAGCCAGAGGAAACUCUGGUGGAGGCUCGCAGCGGUUCUGACGUGCAAAUCGAUCGUCAAAUCUGCGCAUGGGGGCGAAAGA